CCCGCAAGGGCAACCGGCGAACGGGUGCGUAACACGUGAGCAAUUUGCCGAUUUCUGGGGGAUAGCCGGCCCAACGGCCGGGUAAUACCGCAUACGCUCAAGAAGAGGAGUCUCUUUUUGAGGAAACCUCCGGGGGAAAUCGAGGAGCUCGCGGCCUAUCAGCUAGUUGGCGGGGUAACGGCCCACCAAGGCGACGACGGGUAGCUGGUCUGAGAGGAUGGCCAGCCACAUUGGGACUGAGAGACGGCCCAGACUCCUACGGGAGGCAGCAGUGGGGAAUCUUGCGCAAUGGCCGAAAGGCUGACGCAGCGACGCCGCGUGUGGGAUGAAGCAUUUCGGUGUGUAAACCACUGUUGCCCGGGACGAACAGCUUCUUUCGAGGAGCCUGACGGUACCGGGUGAGGAAGCACCGGCUAACUCCGUGCCAGCAGCCGCGGUAAUACGGAGGGUGCGAGCGUUGUCCGGAAUCACUGGGCGUAAAGGGCGCGUANGUGGCGCGACAAGUCAACGGUGAAAGCCCGGGGCUCAACCCCGGGUCGGCCGUCGAUACUGUUGGGCUUGAGCACUGUAGAGGCAGGUGGAAUUCCGGGUGUAGCGGUGGAAUGCGUAAGAUCCGGAAGAACACCGGUGGCGAAGGCGGCCUGCUGGGCAGUAGCUGACACUGAGGCGCGACAGCGUGGGGAGCAAACAGGAUUAGAUACCCUGGUAGUCCACGCCGUAACGAUGGGCACUAGAUGCUUGGGGGAGCG
rnacentral:rRNA from 1 species